rnacentral:rRNA from 1 species
GCCAGCAGCCAUAUCACUCUGCAGCUCCCAGCUGGUACCCCCCUGAAGCUCAGCAGGUGUGAGCCUGGUCACUACCUGGAUGGGAGACUCCUGGGAAAAACUAAGGUUGCUGCUGGAA